GUGCCAGCAGCCGCGGUAAUACAGGGGGCGCGAGCGUUGCUCGGAAUCACUGGGCGUAAAGCGUACGCAGGCGGGUCGAUAAGUCCGUUGUGAAAUCCCAGGGCUCAACCCUGGAACUGCAGUGGAGACUGUCGAUCUUGAGUACGGGAGAGGAGAGCGGAAUUCCUGGUGUAGAGGUGAAAUUCGUAGAUAUCAGGAGGAACACCGGUGGCGAAAGCGGCUCUCUGGCCCGAUACUGACGCUCAUGUACGAAAGCGUGGGGAGCAAACAGGAUUAGAUACCCGCGUAGUCC
rnacentral:rRNA from 1 species